UACGAAGGGGGCUAGCGUUGCUCGGAAUCACUGGGCGUAAAGCGCACGUAGGCGGAUUGUUAAGUCAGGGGUGAAAUCCUGGAGCUCAACUCCAGAACUGCCUUUGAUACUGGCGAUCUCGAGUCCGGGAGAGGUGAGUGGAACUGCGAGAGUAGAGGUGAAAUUCGUAGAUAUUCGCAAGAACACCAGUGGCGAAGGCGGCUCACUGGCCCGGUACUGACGCUGAGGUGCGAAAGCGUGGGGAGCAAACAGG
rnacentral:rRNA from 1 species